UUACACACUGGUAAGUCUUUUUAUUAAUAUUUAUUCUUGUCACUAUUACUCACACUUAAACAAACAAUUCAAUUACAUAGUGAUCUAUAUGAAGAGUUCUGUAUCAGUAUCAUAAGGUGAGAAAGUAUACACACCACAGAGAAACAUUCUGUAGAUACAGUGAAGUAAAACCUUUGACAGAAGGGAUUAUUUCCGAAAGCCUAUGUACAAAUAAAGGUAACUUUCAUACUAUAUACAAACUUACAUUCACAGAGAAUAUACUGAUUCAGAGAUACAAGAGUUUCAUUUAGUGGGUAAUGAUCCAUACACAUAAACACAUGAGAAAAAACCCUGUAAUUUUCAGGGGCCUGGACUGGCUUCCAUGGCAAUGUUUCUUUUUCAAGUUUGAAAUGAGUAGGAUGGGGGACAUAUUCAGAUUUUUUUUACAGUGACUUGAAAAUGGGAGAUAAAAGAGUAUGAAAACUACGAAUUGGAGCAAGCUAAAAAAGCUUUUUUAUAAAAAUAGCAUCUGAUUGUCAGUUACAACACACUACUAUUAUUUUCACGACAAUACAGUGGCCUGAUCUUGCCAUUUUAAGUGAGAGAAAUAAUUUCUGCUCAUGUGAGCCAACUCCUCAGUGUCAGGAUUGCAAAAUCAAAACUGUGUAACAGAGAUCUCAAUAAUGGAAAUAAACACAAAAGCAAGAAAAACCCCUUUGGCAUUACUUAAUUUUUAUGGGGGAUUAAAAGAAAUGGUUAAUUUCUGUUGGAUAGCCUGACCCUGAAAACUCUAAUUCUUUCGUAAAACAGGUAUGACAGAAAUAACUCAUGUCUUAUAAACGUACUAAAAUAUGAGCAGCUUCCUUUACUGUGGUCUCAGUGGAAGAAAGUAUUAGAGUAACAGCAUGAUUUAAUUGCUUCAUUGGGCCUGACUCUGCAAGCAUUAUGUUCCUUCUUCUGGGGUGAACAAGGAUUGAUCCCCUGCUGCAAAGGCAGUGUGCAGUAUUUUGUACAGUCCCACAAGGAAGCUCAAGAGUAUGAGCAAACUCCCCAACUUACUCACAGCUUCACUAAGGCGAAACCAGAUCCUGCUUUACUGUACAUUUAUUUGACAUUAUUUUACAUUAUACCUUAACAGAGAUGUGAAAUUGAUUCUUUACUUUAAAAUUAAUGAUCCCCUUAUUUAGAAACCCGAUACUAGUCUUCUGGGUUUUUUAUGGCUUCUUUUUGCGUUAAGACAACUAUGUGACACAAAAUAAAUAAAAAAAAAUAGUAAAGUGCAAGAUCUUUAAAAACACAUAAAAAUUUGUUUGGAUUAGUUUUGUGUUUGAUGAGCAGUGAAUUUAUAAUAAAUCUACAUGAGAGUUCAUUUACCGAUCUUGAAUUGUAUUAUUUCUUAUUCAGUCUGGUCCCGGGCCACAUAUGGCUCCUGUAAGAAUAAUGUGGCCAGUUGUGUGCCUCACCUACCCAUGCUUCAAGUGGCUUCUAGGCUGGGGCUUACCUGGCUGGCUGGGAGCAUGGGCUCAGGGCCACGCUAAUGUGGUUAUGUGGCUUUUGGAGAACACAUGGCUUACGUCCAGCCAGGCAAGAGCACGGGCAGGAGAACACGCAAACUAUCUGCACCCAUCCAGGCAGACAAGUCCUGAAAUGCCACACACUUCACAACUAGCAACAGCAGAUCCACAGGAUGACUUGUCUGGACUACAGUGCUGUGAUCCAUAUAUGACCUCUGUAUCUGAUGGGGGCACUGAAUUGGAUAACUUCAAUCUGGAAAAGUUACUCUCCCAGUCCCGAUGUAAAUGACAGAUAGAUAUCUCAAUACUGAUAUUCCUGUAACUGAUGGCAACAGAUCCAAGAAGGAUCAUUUUAACAUCAAUCAGAAGUGUUGUAGGGCUGGAGCAGGACUCUUCUCCACACUGCCGAGUGCAGGCUAUCCCAUUUGCUAAUCUCAAAAUCACUUUUUCGAGCUGCAAGUUAUUGCAUCAAACUUCCCAGGAAUAGCAGGAAAACAAGAAUCACCUACUUAAAGGAACUAACUAUGCCUCCUUCUCAGUUAGUUCUGUCAUUGUUAUUUACAAGAGAUAAAAUGGUUUCCAAGAAUACAAGUGAAUCCAAUUUUUCUGUUUGUUCAUAGCUCCCAGGACAAUUAUGUUUGUUAUGCAAAUGCAUUUAUGAAAUACGGAAUCCUAAAAUAAAAAUCUGUAUCUUCCCAAGUCAAUGGCAGAAAUCUUUGGGAUAUCGGUGGGCCAGUUGUUGGAGAAGGGAUUAUUUCUUUGCUAUAAAUGAAAUAAAUCUACCUGAUACAGACUCAUGUUUGAUUCAAAACACAAUUUAUAUGGACCACAAGAUGCUAUUUUGAGGAAUUACUGCUGAAAGAAGAAUAAUUUAAAAAUGUUGUAUAUCCCCGUUUUCGCAAAACACGUAAUGAGAGACAACCAGAGAAAUAAUCCCUUAAAAAACACCCAAACACUAAGAAUAUUUCUAAGCAUCUACUAAUUUUAUACAGUACUUGGAUUAAUCACAUUUAACCUACUGCAUUGUGGACCUUCAUAUCCACACACAACAGUACCAUAAGUGACAACGACCAUAAACUACUUCAGAGUAGCAUAUUAGGAAAUUACAAGGUAGGUUCAUUGCCAUUACGAACAUCAAAGGGCAUCUAGAUAAGCUGCUUUGUCACUCACCAUGCUUUAUGCUUCAUGGUUAUGCAGAAAGCCACAUCAAUGGAAUGAAUAAGCAGAGGCAUACAGACUCAGAGAGCCUGUCUGCACUACAAGAAAGCACUAGCUUUCAGUAAAGUAGUUAAUCUAAACUAUACUGAGCCUUGCUGAAAGAUUUUGCCAUGUCUAUAUAAGAACCCUGUUCUUGAGGAGAUCAUCCUCAUAUCACUCUCUUUAUCGCAGUUUUACAGCAUUUACCCUACAGAUUUGACCAUGGUGGCUUCUGGAGAGAGAAGUCAGCUAUUUUUUUUUUUUUCCUUUUUUUUUUUUUAGUGGAAAACUGCAAGUACUUGUCAGACUCCAGUGGUAUUUUGUACAGCCAGGGCUAUUUUCUUCAUCAAUUCCAAUGAAGUUAGUGCAGCAAAUCUUUAAAACAGGUUGCAAUCUGACCCACAAUCCUACCCAAAUGCUACUGGAAAUCCCUUCCAAAAACCAUGUCCAAAUUUGGUUCUGUGCAGGUGUUAUAGUGCCACAGAGUUGGCUAUUUAACCUGAAUUUGCAUUCUUAUCUUACUUGCUGUGUUGCCAAACUGGUGUUGCCCUGAAAGCACUAGGCUAGAACAGGAUCUUGACCAUAACACCAAUUUCUGUAUUAAUUAUUCAUUUAUGCUUCAUAAGGAUUAUGUAGACAACAGUAUCAGUUGAAUAAAUGAGCACAGACAUACAAGCAGAUGGAAGAGCCUUCAAUGCUGAUCAACUCAUUGUAGAAUUUAGGCAGUUUGUGGGACCUAGUGAAGUCAUUCAGAACUUUAACUGAAGAAACAGAAAUUUAAUUUUGAAUUCAAAGUGUACAACGUUGAGAAAUGUUCAUGGAUCCCACACUGAAACAGUUAUGAACAGUAAGAAACAUGUUAUGCUGGGAAAUCUGUCAUUGUAAAAUAGAAGUUUCCUAACACGUGGUGUGCACUUUUGGCAGUGUUGAGCCUGCAGAGCUUAUAGACUUCCAGUCAUUUGGCUGCAGCAGCUCUUGUCUGUUCUCUCAGCACUCCAGGUUAAGAUUUUCAGACUCCUCCUAUAUGGGAUAAGGGGCCGUGCUUCUCCCUCCAGCCCAUUCCUCUCUUUACCAGUAUAGCUGUUACCUUGUUAUCAUAGAGCACAACAGCAUGCAAGCAUCCUGAAACAGUUUACCCCAGCAGUUAUGUAGAAAGCUGCCUUGGUAAGUAUAACCAGCUUUCACAGCCAGCCUCCACAGAAAGCACCACACAACUGAAAUCAAUCCUAUAACCUCUGGAGCUGAGCUGCUACUGACAGUAUAGUUAUUCAGCCAUCUGAAUAAUGAUCUGCCCAACAGAUGCAAGGCAGUGAGAGCUGUGAGGUGUCUCAUUCCUGAGGGGAAAAAGUUACUUUUAACACCUUCCAAAAUAAAUAUGUUGAUAUGGGCAAAUGGACAUAGGAAAAAAAUUAAUCAGAUAUAUUUUAAGACACUAUAUAAAUGCCAUUACAGGACACCAGCCCGUAGCCGUACACAUAAAAUUCUUCUUUCAAGCUGUUGAUGCCGGCUUCAGACUGAAAUAUUCCCAGUGUUUAGGGCUUUCCACUGGUUACUCUUUUCUCCCUACCUGCCCUCAGUGGGGCAGUAAUCUCUGCUGCUGCUGCCUUCAUUUUGCAGAAUGCACCAGUGUGUUCUUACGGCUCUCAAGGUCAGGGAGGGCUGUUUCCUUUCCAGUAUGGGAGUUACCCCAUGCUGGCCAUGAAGUCAUAAAAAAACCUCCAACCAAAAAAAAAAAAACAAAAA
ensembl:lncRNA